rnacentral:sRNA from 2 species
UCGCCGUUCAUUGGGGAGUAGCCGCCCCGCGCCGUGCCGCCCGGCCAGCCUUCGGGUUUGCUGCGCGCCGCGCACGCGCAGCGGGGGCAUCCGUCAACAGACUUGGCCCGUGCGGCCAUGGCGGACGCAGCCUUUAUCUGCUUUACCUGCCUUUGUCGCUCAGGCCUGGCGAGACCGAUGACUCAUGCCCGCUGCAACAGGGCC